ensembl:snoRNA U8 U8 small nucleolar RNA
UCGUCAGGUAGGAUAAUCCUUACCUGUUCCUCCUUUUGGAGGGCAGAAUAGAACAUGAUGAUUUGGAGCUCGCAUGAUUCGUGAUUAACGGCUCUGCGUAAUCAGGACUUGCAAAAAUAAAAUGAUAGCAUCUAGGAGAU